GUACACGCUGUGACUAGCAUAUCAAUAAGCGGAGGAAAAGAAACUAACAAGGAUUCCCCUAGUAACGGCGAGUGAAGCGGGAAGAGCUCAAAUUUGAAAUCUUAAAGGGUUUCCCUUUACGAAUUGUAGUUUAAAGAAGUGUUUUCUGUUGAGGUUUUGGUAAAAGUUCUUUGGAAUAGGACAUCAUAGAGGGUGAGAAUCCCGUAAUUUGACCUUUACUUUCAACUUUGUGAUACACUUUCAAAGAGUCGGAUUGUUUGGGAAUGCAGUCCAAAAUGGGUGGUAAAUUUCAUCUAAAGCUAAAUAUUGGCGAGAGACCGAUAGCGAACAAGUACCGUGAGGGAAAGAUGAAAAGAACUUUGAAAAGAGAGUUAAACAGUACGUGAAAUUGUCAAAAGGGAAGCGUUUGACACCAGUGUUGUUUUUCUGAAAAUCAAUUAAAGAACUGUUUAUGCUAAGUUGUUUAGACUUUAUCAGCUAACUGUUUAGUUUUGAGCUUUUCUUUAAUGCACUUUUCCAGUUAACAAGUCAACAUCAAUUUCUUUUGCUGUAAAAAAGCUUGAGGAAGGUGGCUUGAGAUUCGUCUUAAGUGUUUAUAGCCUCUUGCCUAUGCAGUCGGAGAGAUUGAGGUCUGCAGCGUAGAUCCUUCGGGGCUAAAUGCAUUUGUGCUAAGUUAUAGCAUUUUAUAGACAACUUGUUGACUAUGAUUUGUCUUGUAGCUUACUCGCUUAUGUUAUUUUACCUACGCUUAGGAUGUUGAGUCGUAGAGCACGCAG
rnacentral:rRNA from 1 species